AUUGAACGCUGGCGGCAUGCCUAACACAUGCAAGUCGAACGGUAACACGAAACGGCUUUCUGUUUCUCUGGCGAGUGGCGGACGGGUGAGUCAUGUCUAAGAAGCUGCCUAAUUGAGGGGGAUAACUAGUGGAAACGGUAACUAAUACCGCAUAGCUUCUCAGGACCAAAGGGGGGGAGCUUGGGGCCGCUUGCCGGCUGAUAUGCCCAGGUGGUAUUAGUUAGUAGGUGGGGUAAAGACCCACCUAGGCGACCAGCCAUAGCUGGUCUGAGAGGAUGCCCAGCCACACUGGAACUGAGACACGGACCAGACUCCUACGGGAGGCAGCAGUGGGGAAUAUUGGACAAUGGGGGGAAGCCUGAUGCAGCGAUGCCGCGUGUGUGAAGAAGGCCUCGGGGUUGUAAAGCACUUUUAGCGGUGAGGAAGGGAGUAACGUUAAUACCUCGGGUAAUUGACGUUAAUCGAAGAAGAAGCACCGGCUAACUCCGUG
rnacentral:rRNA from 1 species